GCCCUCGUAGCUCAGUGGACAGAGCAGCGGACUUCUAAUCCGCGGGUCGCAGGUUCGAAUCCUGCCGAGGGUGCCA
rnacentral:tRNA from 1 species